AAUCAUUUUAUGUAUUUUCAAAUUCAAUUGAAAUUGUGUCCUGAGAAUCAGGCGUUAUUGAGGGCAUCAAAACUUGUGAGGACCCCAGGACCACUUCCUUUUUCUUCCUUUGCUAACGGGGCUAGUUAGCUCUGGCUAGAAUGGCCAGAGAAGAGAUAUCAGUGGAGUAUCAGGAUAGAAGAAGAGAAAAAAUGAAUAGUCAGCCUGAGCUGAGGGAAGAGUUUAUAAGAGAGGAAAGGAAAUGACGGAGAAAGAGAGUGGAAGAGGGAUACAUAAAAAAUAUCAAUGUAAAUUCAGCUUAGAAGUACAAUCCUAUCACUAUGGACAAAAUCUCCCACAGGUCACACUUCACACAGGCAUGUUCUACACUGGGCAAGAAAAGGCAGGAUUCUGCACAAUCUCAGAGUCUAAGCGUCAGAAUGCUGCAGCCAUCUGGACCUAUAUGGAUCAAAUCCUCACAUAUAUUCAUAUCAGAAAUCCCACCAUAAACACUGUCCACUUUUAGUCUUAUAGUCCAAUCAAACAGUAUAAAAAUAAAAAGAACUUCUAUCUCCUCUGUGUUGUCCCGCAACAUCUGGAAUUUGAGAAAGCUUCAUGGAAUUUCUUCCAAACAUCACAUGGCAUUACUGCUCCAGAUGGCAUUGGGGCGACGGUGAAGACACGUGCUGAGAGGUCGGGGUAUCAUAGAUGGCAAAGUAUUCUUUGACAUGGUGUCCAACAGCUUAAGUGGUGUCAAACUGUGGCAUGUGACAAAUGAUGAGUUUCAGGCUUAUGACACCUUCUUCAUGCAAACGCUGAAAUCCAUUCCAGGAACAAGAAACAUUCAUCAAGUGUUAUGGCUCAGGGGGGAUGUCAUCCAUUGUAGGAAUACUUUCGUGGUUUUGCAGAGAUUUGCAAGUGCUUCACAGUCCGGCCACUCACUCUUUUGGUGACCCAACACGAGACCCAGAUGUCCAUGAAAGUUCAAUCACUGCCAAAGUUCAGAAUACACUGGAAAUGUUGAUGGAGGAAAUGGAGAAGGAGUCCAGCAGGACACCUGAAGGAACAACGACUCCGAUAGGCCCUGGUGAUAUCCAAAGUGAAGAUCGGCUCAUUGUAUGACGGGAACUGGUGGCUGCCUACAGCCGUACAAAUGGACAAAGAGCAUCAAGAUGUACAAGUGGAAUUUUUUCAGCCUCAUGGACCAACUCUUAGCUUCAAGCAAAAACCAGGUCAUCAGGAUGUCUGCUUUGUGCCAUUUUCUGAUAUUCUAGUUAGACUGAGAAAACUAUCCUCACCAGUCUGUACAAGCAGCACCAGGAGUGUAUACCGCAUAUGGAUUUUAUUGAAGGAGAAUAUGUGACAAGUCUGUUGCAUGGGGAUUAAAUCUACUGAAUUGGCAAUCAGAUUUGAUGUGUAGGAUUUUGUCAUCGCUUUUAUUAUUAUUUUUUAAGAUUUCACUUUGAGAUUUAGAAAGAUUUGAAUUAGUUCACAAUGUAUUUCAAAUGUAUUUACCAGUUCGUCACCACCGUCAGCUCUGUCUACCCCAUCAGAUGGAGUUUGUUGUUUUAAAUAUUCAUUUUGUUUCUUGAUAAGCAUUUGUCUGUAAAAUGUCUGAAUUCAUCAAUUAAAAGAACUAAGACAAUA